UUUCCGUAGGUGAACCUGCGGAAGGAUCAUUAUUGUAUAACCGAGGUGCGAGGGCUGUCGCUGACCCGAAAGGUCGUGCACGCCCGAGUGCCCUCACACACAUCCAUCUCACCCCUAUGUGCACCACCGCGUGGGUCCCCCUUUGGCUUGUUCGGAGGGGGGCUUACGUUUUCACACAAACUUUGUAUGCAGUGUAGAAUGUAUUUUUUGUUUUUGCGAUCACGCAAUCAAUACAACUUUCAACAACGGAUCUCUUGGCUCUCGCAUCAAUUAAUAAC
rnacentral:misc_RNA from 1 species